rnacentral:lncRNA from 1 species
ACACUAUCUGUUCCCUGGAAUGCAGCGAGCUCAGAUAAAUCUAGAAUGCUUGCAGUUCAGCUUGUACCUGGCUUACAAAAACAUUCAUUGUGACCUUCCCCCUCCCCAGUUGAUGGAUUGCAGCUGCCAUAGGAGGGCUAUGACUUGGCAUUUUCUCCUGGACAGGGACAAUGUACUGCGCACAGUACACACGUGCUGCACGGAGAAGACGGCUUUGUGUCUGGUUGAACCCAGCUGUCGGACUCAGCACACCCUGCUUCGGGGGUGGCUGGAGGCCUGGAAAGGUUUGCGUGUGUAUUGAUACUGCAUUCAGGAAAAGAAAACAACCUUUACUAAAGAGCUGGCAUCUCCCACCCUCACCAACACCAGAGGAUCAUUGGGCGAAGCUGUCACCUUUGGCAGAGUGGCAAGAGCCCCACCAAGCACCCUAACUUUCCACUCCCAGCUUGCUGUGGAGCCGUUUCUCCGCAACGACAGCUUUCAGGCGCCAACUGUGCCUGUGGAAGCCCCGCCCAGCGCCAUUGGCCUCCAUGUUUUAUUGCGCAAGCAUGAGAACAGCCUUGCACAAAGAGUCAGGAAGUGGGAUAUAAAUUUUGGGUUCAGAUAUCUGGAGAACUGAGCUUAAAUACCAGCUGUGAGAGGAAGUGAUGGGACCGGCCAGGUGGCGGGCACCCCAGAAUCAGGCGUCUCCUUUAUCCACUGGGAGGUGGAGUUUCAGUUGAACCUUCCUAUUGGUCCACAGUGUGAUCUUCCUGCAUGUUUGUUGCUAGGUUCCACUGAGAGAGCCCCUGCCGCGUUCUUCCAGUAAUUCUGCUUCUCUCGCUACAGUUUUAAGUUUCAUGCUCCAGCAACUGAGCUAGUGGGACGCUGGUAUACCACACUUUAAACAGCCAUGUGGUAUCAUCCUUUGUUUAAACGAAGAGUGUCAUUCUCACAAAUAUAGGUAGUUCAGAAAGUACUGAGAUUUAGGGAUAAUGUGAUUUCGUGGUCAACCGAACAAAUUUUCCUUAGUAGUCGCCAGAGCGUUCAGUCUGCAUCCACGCCAUUGUUACUGUUUUUUCUCAUGAUCAGAUUUGAAAUGUCCAAGCGAUCCUGCUUAUAAAACUGUCUUGUUCUACUGAGUGGAAUGGGCAGGCCAGUUUCCCAACUCCAGCCACAGGAGGGCGCACAGAGACAUUAACAAUGAGGGUUGGCAUUACAUUUUGGGGUGUCCUGAGUUAAAUAAAAGAGCUUGGGCACUGUUCUACUGUCA